UACGGAGGGUGCGAGCGUUGCUCGGAAUUAUUGGGCGUAAAGCGUACGCAGGCGGCUUGUCAAGUCGAGUGUGAAAUCCCGGGGCUCAACCCCGGACAUGCAUUCGAUACUGGCAAACUAGAGGACGGUAGAGGCGUGUGGAAUUCCGGGUGUAGUGGUGAAAUGCGUAGAGAUCCGGAGGAACACCAGUGGCGAAGGCGACACGCUGGGCCGUACCUGACGCUAAAGCGCGACAGCAUGGGGAGCAAACGGG
rnacentral:rRNA from 1 species